GACGAACGCUGGCGGCGUGCUUAACACAUGCAAGUCGAACGGUGAAGGGACCGGUUUUUGCUGGUUCUGGAUGAGUGGCGAACGGGUGAGUAACACGUGAGUAACCUGCCCCCUUCUUCUGGAUAACCGCAUGAAAGUGUGGCUAAUACGGGAUAUUCUGCGCCUGCUGCAUGGUGGGUGUGGGAAAGAUAUUGUUUCGGUGGGGGAUGGGCUCGCGGCCUAUCAGCUUGUUGGUGGGGUGAUGGCCUACCAAGGCGGUGACGGGUAGCCGGCCUGAGAGGGUGGACGGUCACACUGGGACUGAGACACGGCCCAGACUCCUACGGGAGGCAGCAGGGGGGAAUAUUGCACAAUGGGCGCAAGCCUGAUGCAGCGACGCCGCGUGAGGGAUGGAGGCCUUCGGGUUGUAAACCUCUUUCGCCAGUGAAGCAGGCCUGUCCCUUUUGUGGGUGGGUUGACGGUAGCUGGAUAAGAAGCGCCGGCUAACUACGUG
rnacentral:rRNA from 1 species